rnacentral:lncRNA from 1 species
AGUUGUUAUUUGCUUAUAAUAUUUGUCCAUAUGGACUUCAAAAGAUACAAUGACCUGCAAUGAAAUCACAUCCAUUCUUUGUGAAAAUUAAUAUAGAGAAAUGUAAAACCAGGUAGAAAGAAGAGGCAAAAUGAUUAUAGAUUCAUGAGUAAUUUUAUUAAAUAUAAACUCUACUAGUACUUUAUUAUUUUUUUAAAGAUUUUAUUUAUUUAUUCAUUCAUGAGAGACAGAGAGAGAGAGGCAGAGACACAAGCAGGCUCCAUGCAGGGAGCCUGACACGGGACUCGAUUUCGGGACCCCUGGGCCUAAGGCAGGCGCCAAACUGCUGAGCCACCCGGGAAUCCCUCUAUUAGUACUUUAAUCCUUCCUCAAAGUUAACCACUCACUACACUGACUUCAGUUGUAAUUUUAAUUUUAAAGGAGCAUGAAUAUAUUUAACAUAGCAAAGAAAUACGAUAAUGAGAAUUAAUUCAAUUAAAUUAAAAUUCACUACCUCUCAAAAUCUUAGGAUUUAGUAAAAGUCAUAGAAUUCUUUUCUGCCUCCAGAAAAGAGAUACCCAGACUGACUGCACAAAUAAUUGGCAUUUUCUAGAGGAUGUUUCAGGUUUUCUACUGCAUCCUCCACACUCAGAAGAAACCAGCUAAGCACUUCCCCAGUCACUAAAGACUUGGAAGCAGAGCUGAAGGUGACAGCCAAAGUGUUCUCCAUGGCCAGAAAAUGCAGACAAAAAGCUGCUUUUUCAUCUCCUUUGGACUACUGGGACAUAGGAGCUUUCUCUUCUUUACCAGCUCAUCCCACCUCCUUCUAUCUCCACUACGGCCUCUAGUUCACGACACCAUCGUGCCCUGAUCCUGAGGGAGGCUGCCCUACUUCUCCCACCAGCUGCCCUACUUCUACUUCUCCAGCAUCCUGUCAUGGCUCAGCAACCAGAAUUUAUCUAUUUGAUGCUUUGUGGGAGUUGGGUGAUCUGAAUGCCAUACGUGAUGGGUGCGGAAAGCCUUUCAGAAAUAGC